AAAGAUUGAUUGAUUGAUUGACUGUACUACAACGUUUAAACUGUCUCCUCCUGCAGCAGCUGAGUUAUUUGAGCUGAUGAUGCUUCUGCCUGAGUAUGACUUCCUGAAUGCUUGACUUGUAUCUCCACGUUGUUUUUAAAAGCUUGAACUUCUGCAUGAGUGUUUUCGUACCUGAGAAGUCGAGCAGUGCGUUGGCUCCGUCCUCGCCGCCUCGCCCCGUCUCCAUCAGGGUGCUGAACAGGGUCCCAAUGGGGUCCAGAGGGUGACCCACCCAGCCCUCCAGGUUCGUAAUGGAUGUUAUUCCUUUGUGGAGCAGCUCUGCGGUGAAACAGACACAAACACAGCUACUUGUAGAUAAUAACGUCUCCAAGAAGCUGACAAGCUAGUCGAUGAAGUUGCUGAAAACAUCCAAACAUAGACGGCUUUUUCUCAAGAGAACUUUAAAUGAAUCAUUUAAACGCUGAAGAAGCAGAAACUGACCUUUCUUGUGAGCUCUGAAGAACUCCAUCUGUUUCUGCUGCUGCCUCCUCAGAGUGUUGAUGAUGGCGAUGGCAAGCCUGAGUGCUUCCUUUGGUUUAAAAAUGCACGCUUCCUGCGCCCUCACCGUGCCACAGAGGCCACCCUCGGGCGUCAAACAGCGAGCUGUCCAGGUGGUCGUGGUAGCAGUAGUUGGUGUAUUGGUCCCUGGUGAUGAUGUGCUGGAGGUGCGGGUCCUGCCAGUGAAGGUCGCACGCCUCGAUCGCCCGUGUGAAGACCGUCCGGUGAGGCCGGGUCACUGAAUCUGAGACAAACACAGAGGGGAUUAAAACCUCAGAUGGAAGAAAGGUAAAGAGACAGGUGCAUGCUGGGAUUUAUUCAGAAAGAAGGGCUGGAAAUACUAAGAGUUUGAAGAGUGAAGGAAACAUUAAAUUCAGCCGUUCUUCAUGGCA